CCAGGGUUCUCUACUUGGAAAACUAGGGAAGCAGGACCUGAAAGGCCUUCAGCCUUACAGAUGUCGGGAUUUGCAUUCCUUGUAAGGUAGGAUACCCACGCAUCUCCCAACUUCCCCUCGCACCAGACCUGAGCUCUAGCAUCUCCGGGGAUGGCGAUCCCUUGUCACCUGUGGUGGACAGUAUGGACGCCCAUCUACCCCGAUCCCGCUCGCUGCCCCCUACUGCCCUGAGCCUGCAACACAGGCAGGGCAGGAGUGCACUUGGCGUGGUGGCUGCGCCUCUUCCAUGGCUCGCCCAGGCCUGAAAGAAUCUGGAGGACCGACCGAAACUGAACCCUGAAGUCCCCGGAGGAGAACCGUUGUGGUUCGGCCAGCAUCAGCGGGGCUCUUCCUCUGAGAACGGCUCGAAGCCCCCUGGAUUUGCUUGGCGGAGACCACAGCCCGCCUGGAAAGAGGGUCAAGUGCAGACCCUCUGGGUUCGACUCUUAAAACUGCAGCCAGAAGUUGAGUUUCCUGGACUCACAGCUCGGGGGCCACGACCCGCAGUCCGGGAUCUCCUAGCCCAGGGUAUCAGUCUUUUCUUGGGUUGCGAAAGUGCACCGGGAUGGUGUUGGUGUCCUAGGCGAUACCCAACGGAUGACCAACUGCGCACACAGAGCGGCUCGGGGUUAGUCAGGGGAUUCUGGCUAGAGAUGUCUACUGCACCACCCGCCAUCUAUCCGCUGGGCAAGUAAGUUGUCCCGCGUGCCCUCAUCUAGCACGCAGGCCCUUAGUCUGGCACACGGAAGGAGUUGCGUCCUUGUGGGACCCCUUAGCGGCUCUGUAGGGUGGCCCUUGCCCAAGUGUUCCCACAAUCCCUGGAAGUCGUUUUAGUGCCGCUAGUGGCGUUGCAAGAGAGGUGGGCUGGUGCAGACCGGAUCUCCCUCGCACUCAAAAACCUGACCUGGCGCCAGGCCAAUUGCUAGGAGGAGUGAUUAUUUGCAAGCUGCGGGUUGGGGGAUAAAGAUGAACACCAAGCAAGAGUUUGAGACUGGUGGGGAAUAGAAACAGCACGCCACUCCUCAGGUUCUCUCCGAACGGCGCAAGCACCGUCAUCCAUCCAUCCAUCCAUCCGUCCGUCCGUCCGUCCGUCCAUCCAUCCGUCCAUCCACCCGUGGAAGUCAGUAGCAGCGGUGUGGAAAAAGCUCGGAGCUAUGAGGUGGACCGAGCAAUACCAUGUCCGGGUCUUUCAGAAUUCGGGACCCAGCACCCAUGACAGAGGCUGAGCGUUAAAGUGGUCCCCGGAAGCGCUGGGUGCAGACGGGAACAUCCAACCUCCCGAAUGAGAUGGGAAUGGGGAGCCCUGUGGGACGCAGGACUCGGGGUGCUUCGUGAGCUGAGCACUUUGGGAGCGAGCCGGAUCUGAAGCCCAGAUAAUGCUGUGUCCCACAGAUGCCCAGCAGGGCUGCCGUCCCGGGUACCCCGUCACACGCCCGAAUCAAGUCCACACUCUAACCCUCCUGGAAGGUGAGGCGACCCACGUGAUCCACAUGCCUUCGAAUUCGUUCCUCCACAGACCUGAGAGGCACCUGAACGUCAAGAGGUUACGCUGUAGGUGGUCACUCUCAGGAAAACCUCAGAGCAAACCUGUAUUUAUACUUAUUCGUGAAAAAUAAAUUGUAACAAACAGUAUGCUUUGCUUUAUCCUGUU
ensembl:lncRNA